CGGACCGGCGCACGGGUGAGUAACACGUAUGCGACCUGCCCGUAGCAGGGGGAUAAGCGGAAGAAAUUCCGUCUAAUACCGCGUAAUAUCUUUCGGGGGCAUCCCUGAGGGAUUAAAGGAAGCGAUUCCGGCUACGGAUGGGCAUGCGGCGCAUUAGCUAGUCGGCGGGGUAACGGCCCACCGAGGCGACGAUGCGUAGGGGUUCUGAGAGGAAGGUCCCCCACACUGGUACUGAGACACGGACCAGACUCCUACGGGAGGCAGCAG
rnacentral:rRNA from 1 species